rnacentral:rRNA from 1 species
UCUACGGGAGGCAGCAGUGGGGAAUAUUGCACAAUGGGGGAAACCCUGAUGCAGCGACGCCGCGUGAGCGAUGAAGUAUUUCGGUAUGUAAAGCUCUAUCAGCAGGGAAGAAGAUGACGGUACCUGACUAAGAAGCCCCGGCUAACUACGUGCCAGCAGCCGCGGUAAUACGUAGGGGGCAAGCGUUAUCCGGAUUUACUGGGUGUAAAGGGGGCGCAGACGGCAGCGCAAGCCAGGAGUGAAAGCCCGGGGCCCAACCCCGGGACUGCUCUUGGAACUGCGCGGCUGGAGUGCAGGAGGGGCAGGCGGAAUUCCUGGUGUAGCGGUGAAAUGCGUAGAUAUCAGGAGGAACACCAGUGGCGAAGGCGGCCUGCUGGACUGCGACUGACGUUGAGGCCCGAAAGCGUGGGGAGCAAACAGGAUUAAUACCCCAGUAGUC